AUUAGAGUUUGAUCAUGGCUCAGGACGAACGCUGGCGGCGUGCCUAACACAUGCAAGUCGAGCGAAUGAAGUUCCCUCGGGAAUGGAUUUAGCGGCGGACGGGUGAGUAACACGUGGGCAACCUGCCUCAUAGAGGGGAAUAGCCUUCCGAAAGGGAGAUUAAUACCGCAUAAGAUUGUAGUACCGCAUGGUACAGCAAUUAAAGGAGGAAUCCGCUAUGAGAUGGGCCCGCGGCGCAUUAGCUAGUUGGUGAGGUAACGGCUCACCAAGGCGACGAUGCGUAGCCGACCUGAGAGGGUGAUCGGCCACAUUGGGACUGAGACACGGCCCAGACUCCUACGGGAGGCAGCAGUGGGGAAUAUUGCACAAUGGGGGAAACCCUGAUGCAGCAACGCCGCGUGAGUGAUGACGGCCUUCGGGUUGUAAAGCUCUGUCUUCAGGGACGAUAAUGACGGUACCUGAGGAGGAAGCCACGGCUAACUACGUGCCAGCAGCCGCGGUAAUAAU
rnacentral:rRNA from 1 species